AGAAAGAACGAGAGAAAGGAAGAAAGAAAGAAAGAAAGAAAGAGUCUGUUUGCAUGUUUGUUGGUUUGUUUGUCUGUCUGUAAGAAACAUAUAGUCUCUCCGUCUGUCUGUGUACAUGUGGCUUUGCUCUGGAUUUCAGACAGAAACAGAGAAUGAAUCGUUGCAGAGUGCUCAGACCAAUAGUCAGUCAACACAUCAAUUCUUUCUUUUCUUUU
rnacentral:ribozyme from 11 species